rnacentral:misc_RNA from 1 species
UAGCGUCCUCUCCUUUCCAGUCCGGUUUCUGCUUUUCCAUUCCUCGCCGUCAUCUGCGCACUCACUGGGUAGCCCCGCUGACUGGACGAGCUGUCGUGCGGUCGUAGUGUAGCACAGCAGAGUCCGCGCAGAGCGAAUGGCCCUACGCUGUGGACACAAACCCCUCCAUUCCUCAGUGUCAUCCUCUCCUGCCUCCUCCCCCCUCGUCCGCCAACGGCGCUCCCGUCGGAGUGCCUAUUCGAGGUAUCGCGUGCCCCUCUCGUUGUGUUCGCCGCCGGUGGUGGCCUGCAGCAGAACUGACUCGUCAUGCCUGCGGCUGUUACGCAGUUGGUGCGGCGUCUUACCGUGCCGGCUGUGGCCACGUCGCUCAUGAAAGAGGAGCUGUGCUUGGCCCUUGCUGCUGUCGCCCAACUGCGGCCGAACCUCUCUACCGCGACGGAUGAAGGAACCACCGCCUCGCCGCUCUCCACCGAGACCCUCGCGCGUCGCAGCUUGCGAGUGCUGCCUCGCUGCGCCCCGCAGGAAGUGCGAAUCAUUGCCAAUGGCGCCAGCGCCUUACAGUGGUUUUCGGCCCCGUCGCUGCCCGUGACAGAUGCGCUUGCGCGCACGCUCUACACGCACACUGUAAAGUGGAACCGGUCGGCAACAGCUGCGAAGACCGCAGCCACGCACAGGGUGCGACUGAGUGACAUACUCGCCGUUGUCCAGCUGGCGGCAGAGGCGCAGCGCUACUUCGACGCCACUAUCUUUCUGUUGGCCACGCAACAUGCAGUGGAAGUCGGCGCUCAGUCGACGAGCAUGUCGACAGCGGUCGCCGAGGAGUUUGUCGCCGUUGUAUGUGGGUACGCUGGGGAGGUGGACGGCGCGGCUGCGGUAGAGCGGUUGGCCGCGCGUCUAGAGGCAUCGUCCGCUGCCGCCUCUAACUCUCCUGGCCUCGCCGUGCUGAAGGCUUGCGUGCGUGGCCGGCCACUAAAAGUCGCUGACAGGUGGGCGGCGCCGUACGCGCGGUGGGCGCAGCAGCGUCGAAACCUCCUCGAGACUGCCCGCUCUCCGGGGGACGCUGCAGCGCCAACGCAUGCUGCAGACGGCGCCGCUCGCACCCCGAUCCAACUCCUGAAGGCGCGUUACGACGCCUGGCAAGUUGCCCUCGCGCUCCUCACGGAAGAGGAAGAAGUCGCGGACGAUCGUCUGCAGCGGACGCUCGAGGCUGUAGGGGUGUUUCACAUUCAAGAUCCGGUGACGCUCUCGACUCUCGACAAAGCGGUGGCGCUCCGGGUGGUUUCGCCGACUUUGCCGAGCGUAGUUCUCGCCAACUACGAAAACUGCGUGUACGCACAGGCGCAGCACUACCCACAGGCGCUCACUGCCUUGAAGCAGAGGGAUGCCGACACCCCAGCCGCGGUGACAGGUGCACGAGAAGGGACAUCUUUCUCCUCUUUUCGACCGCCUGCCGAGGCGCUGCAGCGUGUGUCAGUGAUCCAUCGCGUGUACAAGGAUGCCGUUGCCGGCGCUGUCGUUUCAGAGAAGGACCUGUUCCAGAUAACCACCGUCAUCGGCACGUCCUCGGCGGACGAGGUCGCCAUGGCCACUUAUGUGUUUGCGCGUGUAAAGGAGGUGCCGACGAGCUUUCUGACGAUGCUGACGAAGCAGUCGAUGUCGCUGACGGCGGAGGGUGUGGUGGCGCUCGUCCGCGCGGGCCGCCACGACCGUCGUGGCGCACUGUCCAUAGUGCUACCGGAAUGUCUGCGCCAUUCCGCACACCUUCAAGAGUGCAUCUUGUCGGCCCCCACAACGGUGCUGGUGAAGCUGGCUGAGGCCCUUGGCCGGCCAGUCUCCCGGUGGACGGCGCCAAGCGACCAGACGGGUGCCUUGGAAAAACAGGUCGUGGACAUGGUGGUCGCACACCUCUUACCCCAAGUGGAGCAGAUGCCGCUGCCUGCGCUCCUGUCUGUCAUGGCCAUCGGCGGCCGCCACCUCGCUGGAGCGGAUGACCUGAUGCAGGCCGUGUGCAGCCGCGUCGCCGACCACUUGGUGGCGGCAGUGACUCCACCAUCCAUCGCCCUCUGCCUGGAAGUGCUGGCGGCGUUACACUCGGGCAACUGUCGGCAGGAGCGGCUGCUGGACGCUCUCGCCGAUGCCGUUGCAGCACACUUUGCUCCCCUGCUUCAGCUCACCAUCAGUGCAGAUGCGCCGUGCCUCGCCGCCCUGCUGCACUUCGCAACGAUUCAGGUGCAGUACGGCUCGCCAGAGUUGGCGGCAGUGGGCGCAGGCCUUGUGCAAAGAGUGCGCCAGGGAGGAUGGGACGCGCUGCCACCGGAGAUGCUGGUGGCAGCCGCGCUCUUCGCUCUGGACAGCAGCACCCUGGUUUCAUCCGCGACAUCGCUGGAGCUGCCGCACGCGGUGGUGGCACACUUAGUUGCGGCGCAGCGCCUUUCGAGCAUCAUGACCGUUGACUUGGCCGUCGCCCUCGUCCAGCUACUCGAGCUGAUCCCCACUGUCGAUGCAGAUAACACCCAGGCGCUCGUGACAUGCGUGCGGCCGGUUGCUUCGGCGCUGUCCCCACUAGUGUUAGCUCGCUUGCUGACUUUAAGGCAUCGCAGCUCGACAGCAGCAGCAACGCCUUCGGCAGAGGUCGCAGCAGAGCACUACAACACCGUCAGCAGACACGUGUUGGGCCUGCCUCCCGACACGUUCACCGCCCUCUGCCUCGUCGCCGCGCGCCCCGGGUUCGAAACAGCGCUCGCCAACCUUCUCGUUGACAUGUUGCCGCUCAUGGCCGACGCCCUCUCGGCACACCAGCUGAGCCAGUGCGUGUUUGGGUUGGGGGAGAUGACGGAUGCAGGCCAGCGCCUCUCGCAUCAAGUCAUGACGGAGGCUCUCUCGGACUACGCUGUUGAUAACCUUGAGCUGUUCACCAGCGCCCGCGACAUCGCCGCCCUUCUGCACGGCUUUGCCAAGCUGCAGUGCACGAAUCGGAACCUUUACAGCGUCUUCUCCACGCAACUUCUGCGCCGCCCCAUCAUCGCGACUCUCGAGUUCCGCUCGAUCAGCCUCCUCUUCUUUGCAUUCGGGAGCGUGAGGUUUGUGAACAAGGACCUCAUGGACAUUCUCUGUCGCACCUUCAUCGUCCACAUCGACAGUCUUGCCGCCCCGGACGUGCUCAUGUCGCUUCGCGGACUCAGCCGCAUGAGUCUACUGAAUGCCGCCUUCUACCGCAAGGUAGGAACGAAGGCGAUCGAGAUUAUAGACGAGUUCCCGCUCCAGGCGCAGUGCGACCUCCUCCACGCAUACGGCGCUGUGGAGGAGGCUCAUCCUGAGCUGGCGGCGACGCUCUCGCGGCGCAUCGCCGCGGGGGUGGAGUCGUUGCCAUCUGUCUCCGUCGCCACGGACGUGCUGGCAUCGUUGUGGCUCAUGGGCGCCAACAUGACGAUGGACGAGGGCAUUGAAACGAUUGUCGACUACGUUGUGCGGCACGCGAGCGAGCUGACUGGGCCGGACAUGAUGAAACUUUGCUCCAUCACGCUCAAUCAGAACUGGAAGCAGCCCCAGCUGCUGCAUGGCAUGGCAACACGUGCCAUCGAGUUGCAGGAGAAAGAGCAGCUAGAGCCGACCACAGCACGCGCAGUGCUGGACACGCUGAGCUCGCAACUUGUCUUCCACCAGGCGGCGCGUGUUCGCCUGUCGCAGCUGGCUCGCACCGUGAGCAAGGAAACGGUGCUGCUUUCCGGUGAGGAGCAGGAGCAGCUGAACCUGAUCACAAGCCACUAAGCGACGGCGGCAGGGUGGGUGCAUGGGCACGUGUGGAUGUCCAGAUGUUAGCGCGCGCCGGCAUGCGUGCGUGGGUAAGCGGGCUUGGCGUUUUUACUUGUUUUUCAGUCUGAAGUGAACGUAGGCUUUGUCAGCGGAAGCACGAACGUCUGGAUUGUUCACCUUGCCAGCAUGAUAACACAC